rnacentral:rRNA from 1 species
CAGCAGCCGCGGUAAUACAGAGGGUGCAAGCGUUAAUCGGAAUUACUGGGCGUAAAGCGCACGUAGGCGGUCUGCUAAGUCGGGUGUGAAAGCCCCGGGCUCAACCCGGGAAGUGCACUCGAAACUGGCGGACUUGAAUGUCGGAGAGGGCAGUGGAAUUCCGAGUGUAGAGGUGAAAUUCGUAGAUAUUCGGAGGAACACCAGUGGCGAAGGCGACUGCCUGGACGAACAUUGACGCUGAGGUGCGAAAGCGUGGGGAGCAAACAGGAUUAGAUACCCCCGUAGUCCCUGUCUCUUAUAC